rnacentral:rRNA from 1 species
GAUGAACGCUGGCGGCGUGCCUAACACAUGCAAGUCGAACGGACAUUUUUUGGAAAGUUCUUCGGAACUGGAAUCUAAAUGUUAGUGGCGGACGGGUGAGUAACGCGUGAGCAAUCUGCCUUCCAGUGGGGGACAACAGUUGGAAACGACUGCUAAUACCGCAUAACGCAGCUAGAUCGCAUGAUCUUACUGCCAAAGCUUUAUGUGCUGGAAGAUGGCCUCGCGUCUGAUUAGCUAGUUGGUGGGGUAACGGCCCACCAAGGCGACGAUCAGUAGCCGGUCUGAGAGGAUGAACGGCCACAUUGGGACUGAGACACGGCCCAG